rnacentral:rRNA from 1 species
GCACGGAAGUUAGCCGGAAGCUUAUUCUCCCGGUACUGUCAUUAUCAUCCCGGGUAAAAGAGCUUUACAACCCUAAGGCCUUCAUCACUCACGCGGCAUUGCUGGAUCAGGCUUUCGCCCAUUGUCCAAUAUUCCCCA